CACGUAGGGUGCAAGCGUUGUCCGGAUUCAUUGGGCGUAAAGGGCUAGUAGGCGGCUUAGCAAGUCGGGUGUGAAAUUUCCAGGCUUAACCUGGAGCCGCCAUCCGAUACUGCUAUGGCUAGAGUCCGGUAGGGGACCACGGAAUUCCUGGUGUAGCGGUGGAAUGCGCAGAUAUCAGGAGGAACACCGGUGGCGAAGGCGGGUCUCUGGGCAGUAACUGACGCUGAGGAGCGAAAGCGUGGGGAGCGAACAGG
rnacentral:rRNA from 1 species